rnacentral:rRNA from 1 species
CUUGCUAGGUGGAUUAGUGGCGCACGGGUGAGUAAUAUAUAGAUAACGUGCCUCUUAGUCUGGGAUAGCCAUUGGAAACGAUGAUUAAUACUAGAUAUUCCUUCUAACAAUAAUGUUAGUCGGGAAAGUUUUUCGCUAAGAGAUCGGUCUAUAUCCCAUCAGCUAGUUGGUAGUGUAAGAGACUACCAAGGCAAUGACGGGUAGCGGGUUUGAGAGGAUGAUCCGCCACACUGGUACUGAGACACGGACCAGACUCCUACGGGAGGCAGCAGUGAGGAAUAUUGCACAAUGGAGGAAACUCUGAUGCAGCAACGCCGCGUGGAGGAUGACGCAUUUCGGUGUGUAAACUCCUUUUAUAUGUCAAGAAAAUGACGGUAGCAUAUGAAUAAGCACCGGCUAACUCCGUGCCAGCAGCCGCGGUAAUACGGAGGGUGCAAGCGUUAUUCGGAAUCACUGGGCGUAAAGGACGCGUAGGCGGGAUGCCAAGUCUGAUGUGAAA